rnacentral:tRNA from 1 species
GCCUGGGUGGCUCAGUUGGUUAAGCAUCUGACUUCAGCUCAGGCCAUGAUCUCACAGAUGGUGAGUUCGAGCCCCAUGUCAGGCU